rnacentral:rRNA from 1 species
AUUGAACGCUGGCGGCAUGCCUUACACAUGCAAGUCGAACGGUAACGCGGGGCAACCUGGCGACGAGUGGCGAACGGGUGAGUAAUGUAUCGGAACGUGCCCAGUUGUGGGGGACAACUGCUCGAAAGAGCAGCUAAUACCGCAUACGACCUGAGGGUGAAAGCGGGGGAUCGCAAGACCUCGCGCAAUUGGAGCGGCCGAUAUCAGAUUAGGUAGUUGGUGGGGUAAAGGCUCACCAAGCCAACGAUCUGUAGCUGGUCUGAGAGGACGACCAGCCACACUGGGACUUAGACACGGCCCAGACUCCUACGGGAGGCAGCAGUGGGGAAUUUUGGACAAUGGACGCAAGUCUGAUCCAGCCAUGCCGCGUGCGGGAAGAAGGCCUUCGGGUUGUAAACCGCUUUUGUCAGGGAAGAAACGCUCUGGGUUAAUACCUCGGGGUAAUGACGGUACCUGAAGAAUAAGCACCGGCUAACUACGUGCCAGCAGCCGCAGUAAAAC